ACGCUCGACACCUACGGGAGGCAGCAGUAGGGAAUCUUCCACAAUGGACGCAAGUCUGAUGGAGCAACGCCGCGUGAGUGAAGAAGGUUUUCGGAUCGUAAAGCGUCUGUUGUUGGUGAAGAAGGAUAGAGGUAGUAACUGGCCUUUAUUUGACGGUAAUCAACCAGAAAGUCACGGCUAACUACGUGUCAGCAGCCGCGGUAAUCUGAGCGGGCUGGCAAGGC
rnacentral:rRNA from 1 species